rnacentral:rRNA from 1 species
CAGUCGCCGCGGUAAUACGAAGGGUGCUAGCGUUGUUCGGAAUCACUGGGCGUAAAGGGAGCGUAGGCGGCGUGGUAAGUCAGAUGUGAAAUCCCGGGGCUCAACCCCGGAACUGCAUCCGAUACUGCCGUGCUAGAGGAUUGGAGAGGUAGCUGGAAUUCUUGGUGUAGCAGUGAAAUGCGUGGAGAUCAAGAGGAACACUCGUGGCGAAAGCGAGCUACUGGACAAUAUCUGACGCUGAGGCUCGAAGGCCAGGGUAGCGAAAGGGAUUAGAUACCCGAGUAGUCCCUGUCUCUUAUAC